rnacentral:rRNA from 1 species
AAAAACAUAGCCUUUAGCCAGACAAGUAUUAAAGGUCUAGCCUGCCCAGUGAACUAUUUCAACGGCCGCGGUAUCCUAACCGUGCAAAGGUAGCGUAAUCAUUUGUCUCCUAAAUAGAGACUUGUAUGAACGGCCAACUGAGGGCCCAACUGUCUCCUUAAGCCAAUCAAUGAAACUGAUCUUUCAGUACAAAAGCUGAAAUAAACACAUAAGACGAGAAGACCCUGUGGAGCUUAAAAUAUAUACUAUAAAUAUACCCUCCUCUAUAAACCCAAUAGUAAUAAUUUUCAGUUGGGGCGACUUUGGAAAAAAACUAAACUUCCAUGCCAGGAACCUCUUCCUAUUAAGGCGGACAUGCCAAAAUAAUACUACAUUGACCCAGCCAGCCUGAUCAACGAACCAAGUUACCCCAGGGAUAACAGCGCUAUCCUCUUCAAGAGUCCCUAUCGACAAGAGGGUUUACGACCUCGAUGUUGGAUCAGGACACCCAGGUGGUGCAGCCGCUACCAAAGGUUCGUUUGUUCAACGAUUAAUAGU